rnacentral:rRNA from 1 species
CCUACGGGUGGCAGCAGUGAGGAAUAUUGGUCAAUGGGCGAGAGCCUGAACCAGCAAAGUCGCGUGAAGGAUGACGGCCCUACGGGUUGUAAACUUCUUUUGUCAGGGAGCAAUUGGGUCCACGCGUGGGCGUAGCGAGAGUACCUGAAGAAAAAGCAUGGGCUAACUCCGUGCCAGCAGCGGCGGUCAUACGGAGGAUGCGAGCGUUAUCCGGAUUUAUUGGGUUUAAAGGGUGCGUAGGCGGAAUAUCAAGUCAGCGGUAAACAUUCGGGGCUCAACCCCGUCGUGCCGUUGAAACUGAUGUUCUUGAGUGGGCGAGACGUAUGCGUAAUGCGUGGUGUAGCGGUGAAAUGCAUAGAUAUCACGCAGAACUCCGAUUGCGAAGGCAGCAUACCGGCGCCCAACUGACGCUGAAGCACGAAAGCGUGGGUAUCGAACAGGAUUAGAUACCCCUGUAGUC